UGGGGAAUUUUGCGCAAUGGGGGAAACCCUGACGCAGCAACGCCGCGUGAGUGAUGAAGGCCUUCGGGUCGUAAAGCUCUUUUAGUGGGGAAGAAUCCCACCCGGGUUAAUACCUCGGGUGUCUGACGGUACCCACAGAAAAAGUUCCGGCUAACUACGUGCCAGCAGCCGCGGUAAUACGUAGGGAGCAAGCGUUGUUCGGAAUUAUUGGGCGUAAAGAGCGCGUAGGCGGUUCGGUAAGUCUGACGUGAAAUCCCAGAGCUUAACUCUGGAACUGCGUUGGAUACUGCCGAGCUUGAGUGUGGGAGAGGUGAGUGGAAUUCCCAGUGUAGAGGUGAAAUUCGUAGAUAUUGGGAGGAACACCCGUGGCGAAGGCGGCUCACUGGACCACAACUGACGCUGAGGCGCGAAAGCUAGGGUAGCAAACGGG
rnacentral:rRNA from 1 species